GCCAAUUGGCUGUAUCACAUGGAAGUUGUACCCGUCAGCACCUGCUGAGGGCUUUGUUGUCCAAACCCUGACAGGUAAAAAAAUUCCUGUAGAAUAAAGCCAGACCAGCUGGCUUUGAAGAGAAACCCCCCAGUUUGGGCUGCGUUUGCCUCCUCUCCUUUUCUAUGAAGACCGAGGCUUUGCCCCCUUGAUCGUCAAGCCGUGAGAUGCGUGAUCUCUCUGCACAAGUGUCUGGCAGGCCGAGGGCACCACUUUCAGAUAAAAACAUAGACCUGAAUGGCAUCAUCCAGUAUCCAAGGAAACCAUGUUCUCUAAACAUGAGUAUGCCUUUGGGGGAAGACAGAAGAACAUGGAAGCCAUGU
rnacentral:antisense_RNA from 1 species